rnacentral:rRNA from 1 species
AUGAUCCUCGUGCAGACGAUGGAGCCAGUAGUUCUUCGGAUGAGAUGGGUGAGUGCAAUGGUGUUGGUGUGUUCUUCGGAUGAGAUUGUGUCUGCAAUGUUGUUGGUGUGUUCUUCGGAUGAGAGAAGAACAAGUGCUGAUUUAAUCCUUCUGAACCCCAAUGAGGCUGAUAGCCUAAAUAAAUCUUUGCUCCAGGAUGAUGCUUUUUACUAUUUGCAAUCACGUUUCACACUCUCACCCAACGUUUACGAGUUGACGAGUCAGAUGAGUCGUUCGAAGGUUGAGACUCAUAGACUAAUCGUGACUAGUCUAGACUACUGCUGGACUAGUCGACAUGGUUUCACAAAGGUACACAAGUUGAUGGAGGUUUGGAAGAUCUUCAAGCUGUUGAAGAUUUGGAAGACCUACAAUGAAGUUGGUGGAGUGAUAAUGCCAUAUGUCUUAUUUGUUGAAUCUGGAGAUUGCUUUGCUCAUUUUGGUUGUGGCACAUCUAGAAAUUUAUGUACUCAUUUUGUGCUCGCCGGCAACGGCGCCAGAAAUCUUUCUUGCUACCUCUUGAGCAUGCGUUGGUUUUCCCUUGAAGAGGAAAGGAUGAUGCAGCAAAGUAGCAUUGGAAAAUAA